rnacentral:tRNA from 1 species
CACUCUCGCUCGGGUAGCUUAAA